rnacentral:rRNA from 1 species
UACGUAGGGUGCGAGCGUUGUCCGGAAUUAUUGGGCGUAAAGGGCUCGUAGGCGGUUUGUCGCGUCGGGGAGUGAAAACACCGGGCUUAACUCGGUGCUUGCUUUCGAUACGGGCAGACUAGAGGUAUGCAGGGGAGAACGGAAUUCCUGGUGAGCGGUGAAAUGCGCAGAUAUCAGGAGGAACACCGGUGGCGAAGGCGGUUCUCUGGGCAUUACCUGACGCUGAGGAGCGAAAGUGUGGGGAGCGAACAGG